GGAGAGACGGUGCCAGGGGACGGGGUAUAACGUGGGGGCGUGAGGUGUGCCGGGAUUGUGGGGCGUAAAGGGCCCGUAGGGGGGCGGCGGGGUAGGCUGUGAAAACUCGGGGCUCAACCCCGAGCUGGCAGCCGAUACGGGCAGACUAGAGUUCGGUAGGGGAGACUGGAAUUCCGGGGGUAGCGGUGAAAUGCGCAGAUAUCAGGAGGAACACCGGUGGCGAAGGCGGGUCUCUGGGCCGAUACUGACGCUGAGGAGCGAAAGCGUGGGGAGCGAACAGGAUUAGAUACCCGAGUAGUC
rnacentral:rRNA from 1 species